ACUCGGACUCUCCAGGCCUCGCGGCUCCGCCUGGUGCCGCCUGCAGCGGCUGCUGUCUCCCCUUCCCGUGCGCUGCCCCACAUUCCGACCUCGGCCCGCUCUCACCUUUCUCAGGCCACUGCUAUCCUUCACGUGCGACUUCGCUGAAACGCGCCACCAAACCCGCGCCUCAACUCGGGGCGCUGGUUUACCUUCUCCGCAUGCGCAAGGCGGGAUGAGCUCGGAGACUAGCCGGCCUUCCUCACAAUCGAAGCCUGUGCCGGGAGCGCAUGCGCCCCGCUUUAUCUAUUGCGUUUCUUUUUCCCCCCACAAGCAUUCCCACCGAGAGAAGAAUGGGAUCGGAAGUUCCAGCAGGGAACGGAAGUCUCUGGCUGGAAAGGGGAAAUAAGUGACUAUAUCUGGGCUGUAGAUUGAAUGUUGCCUUUUCCUAAGCCACCCAUGGCUCUGCCCUGCCUCAUCCUGUGCCUAGAAAGACCCCAGACUCAUCUGGCAGAGAGGAGAAGCAGCUGGAUGAGGGGACGACCAUGGCUGGAUGUCAGAGAGAAGCAGCUUGUCUUCAGAGGGACAGCUUAAGGCGUAACUUCUGAGACGAAUCUGGCUGGAGAUAGCUGGACUUCAAGGGAAGACUACAUACCGGCCUGUCCCACCCCCCUCUUUUCAGCUCACCUUCCCUCUGAAAUCCACUUUGAUCAGCAAUAAAAUCCCAGGCAUUUGUCCUUUAAUUUGUUCGUGCAGCUUUAUUUUUCUUGGACGCUGGACAAGAGCUCGGGAGCCACGAGUGCGGAUACAAAAGCUGUCACGCUGGCCCUCUGCCCUUGCUGGUGGAGGGCAACCGCGGGCCCACGGAGCUGUUAACACUUAAGCUGUCCACGGACGACAGAGCCAAAAGAACACUGUAACAUGCCCUCUGGGGCUUCAGGAGCCUCAGGCACUCUGCCUGGACACUGCCCCGGGGCCUGCACGGAGUUCGCUCCUGCCGGUGUCCAAAAGCGCACGCUCUGGCUCCUGCACCCACUCACCUGCACGCUCCCUCCUAUGAGGGGUGGAACGCGGUGAAUCUUGAGUGAGUGGAGUGUGAUCCCACUGGUGCUGAAAAACGGCUGGCUUGUUCCAGCGCUUGUGCACUCCAGUUCCCGCCUUGUUCACUUGCGUACUCCCUCCCAUGAGGAGUUGAGAGCAGCGGGCUGAGUAAACGGGGCACCCCUGUUGUGAGUCCUGUGAAAGGUCAGGGCAAUAUCCUGCUUCAGCAGCACCGUGAAGGAGAAUGAACAGGGCUUCAGAAUGAGGUGAUCUCUUGCCUGUCGUGUGAUCCUGAGCACACAGCUUCAUUUCUCUGAGCCUUCAUUGCUUGACGUUCAAGAACUAUAAAGGACCUAAAAAUACCACUUCACAGUAGGUGUGAAGUUUCAAGGAAGCAACAAGCAUGAACAUUAAAAAAAAAAAAAAAAAUCCAGGUUGCUGACUGAAUGUUUUUAUCACCAUCAAGAGCUGUCAUAGGAGAGCUUCCUUUUGAUGUUAAAACUUGUUUCUCAAACUCAACCCUCUAAAACGUAACUCUUCCCUCCCACCCCCAACCAUUCAGCCUUCCAGUUCUGCCUUCCUCCUAGAGUACACACUCUGUAGGCUCCCAAUCUGUCACCUCACCCAGUUGUUUCUUUCCAUCAGAUGUUCCUCAGACACAUCCAUCUUCAUCUGAGCUCUUGUCACUUCCUGCCCCUCAGCUAAGAGUCCUUCUUCCAGGACAGGCUCUGGUAGCAUCCUAAACCUCACCUUCCAGCUUUUCUAACAGUUUCAAUUUUACAUUUGCUUGUGCGAUCCUUUCUGAUGUCUAAGAUUAACAAUCUCAGGUCACAGACUUUCCUGGGAAAGAAAUUUAACCUUUUUUUUUUUCUAUGACAAAUUAAUUUCUUUUCAACUCUCUUUUCCAUGUGGGUAGUAGAAACAGUCUCAGACAGUUCAGGGUUCUUCCCAUCCUUGAUUUUCAGGUCGUAGACACCUUUUGGAAAAUGAAUAUAGGGCCAAAGUUGGGGGAGAAAAUGUAUCUAAUCCUGGCCGGGGGCAAUGGCUCACACCUGUAAUCCCAGCACUUUGGGAGACUGAGGCAGAGGGAUCACUUGAGGUGAAAGAGUUCAAGUCCAGCCUAGCCAAAAUGAUGAAACCCUGUCUCUCUAAAAAUACCAAACAAAACUAGCCAGGUGUGGUGGUGUGUGCUGUAAUCCCUACUCAGGAGGCUGAGGCAGGAGAAUCACUUAAAUCCAGAAGGCAGAGGUUGCAGUGAGCCAAGAUCACGCCACUGCUCUCCAGCUGGGUGACAGUGAGUGAGACUCCAUGUAAAAAAAAAGAAAAAAAGAAAAUUCAUCUAAUUAUCAGUGUCAGUUGUUUAAGCUGGCAACUUCUCCCUGACUAAUCUUCUGUCACUUAUCCACACAGAUUGCUACUGAAGAUACCUGGGAAAUUAAGCUUCUUUUGGGUCUUUGGCCAAUGUGUCCCCAUGCUCCCCAGGCAGCAACAGCAGCUUUGGUCUGGGAGGAACAAGGCAUAGAGUUCCUUCCUCAGGGACCCACCAGCACCAAUGCAUAUAUCUCUUUUCCCUUAACUCUCCCUGUUUCUCUGAAACCAAGUGCCCUGAAUUUUUUCUAUUCCCUGUGGGCUGGCUUAUGAAACGGAAAAGCCUUGACAGGACUUCCUUUUUCCUGCAUCCUGCUAUCAUAGCCAUAAACUCCCCAGUAGAGGGACACCUCUGGUUUUGCUCAUUGUGAUACUACCAACACCUAGUAUCGUGCCGGGCUGACACGCUAUGGGUACUCAAUAAAGAUUGGUUCAACAAUUAAUUACUGAGUCUCCCUCCUUCUAGUCUGUCCCACUCCAACCCAUCCAGUAAGUGUCUUCCAGAGGAAACUUCUGAAAGUAUGGUUAUCACUCCAUAGCUCAAAUGCAAACACAUGCUGUUGUGCUGCCAGCCCAAUCACCACCCAAGUUUUACCACCUUGGGUUCAAGGCCUCUCCUAAACGGAUCCAUUUUAUUUCCAACCACACAUCCAAGUACAGUAGUUGAGAUGACUGGCCUGUCAGGCAACCUGUCUUCCAACCAACAAUCAUCAUAAAGUUCCUGCUAUGUGCCAGGCACAAUGUGGCACUCUUACACUCUUGAGAGCAAGAGUAACCAGAACAAUUAUGGUUCCUGCCAUCAUGAAGUUUACAGUCUAGUGAAGAACCCAGACAUCAGAUACUUAUAAAUAGAUAAUUAAAUGAUUACAGUUCUUUGAAGUGGUUUGGAGGACAAUCACAGUUUGCUGUAUGGACUAAAUUUAAACCAGGGACCAUGAAAAGGGCUCCAGAGGAAGUGACAUUUAAGGUGAGACUGAAGUUUACAUUGGAGGGUUUGAGACAGGAGGGGGAAGAGGGAGGGGGGAGAGGACAGUGAUCCAGGCAGAAGUUCUGAAACCAGCCAGCGCGGGUAUGUUUGAGGAACUGAAAGGCCAAUGUGGCUGGAAAGAAGAUAAAGUGAGACUGUGAUGGUCAGCAUGGGCCAGAUGGUGCAAGACUUACGGGCAAGUUUCCUCAGCCAGAAACUCUCUCCCUCAUUCAUGGCCUCAGGAAUGACCCCUGGUUGGGGCUCAGAGAAUGAUACCCCAAAGUAUGGUGCUUUAGUAUUGUUUCUGAGCAAAUAGGCUCACUGCCUGAUGCACAUAGAAGCCAAUACUAUGGUACCAGCUUUUGAGAACAGAAAGGCUUUAUUGCAGGGCCACCCAGCAAGGAGACUGGAGGCAUGGCUCACAUCUGUCUCCUAAUUUGGGGUCUGGGGCAAGAUUUAAGGGGUCAGAGGGUGAUAUGGUUUGGCUGUGUCCCCACCCAAAUCUCAUCUUGAAUUCUCACAUGUUGUGGGAGGGACCCAGUGGGAGAUAAUUGAAUCAUAGGGGCAGGUCUUUCUUGUGCUGUUCUUGUGAUAGUGAAUAAGUCUCAUGAGGUCUGAUGGUUUUGAGAAACAGGAGUUUCCCUGUACAAGCUCUUUGUUUUUGCCUGCUGCCAUCCAUGUAAGAUGUGACUUGCUCCUCCUUGCCUUCUGCCAUGAUUGUGAGGUUUCCCCAGCCACGUGGAACUGUAAGUCCAAUUAAACCUCUUUUGUAAAUUGUCCAGUCUCAGGUAUGUCUUUGUCAGCAGCGUGAAAACAGACUAAUACAGAUGGCAAGGAAACGUAUUAGGAAUUUUGGCUUGGCAGGGUCUGAUUGGAGGGUGUCAAAUUUGACUACACGGGUAUGUUGAGGUGGAUUUUACCCCUGGAUCUUUCUGGUCAACAGACCCUUUGCUCCUGAAAGAGUUCCAGCAUUUAGGUUCCGAUCAUGUCUAGGUCUUCUUGGUACCACAGGGAGGAAUCAUUGGUUCUGGGUGUUGUUAGAUGUCAAAGCAUUUUCUAUUGGGCAUGCCCUACUGACAUGACUUGGAGUUUUGGCUCUGUCAUACCUACAAGAGAACAUGACAUUCUGUUAUCAAAAGAGUAGGCCCAGUUUGG
rnacentral:lncRNA from 1 species